rnacentral:rRNA from 1 species
AACGAACGCUGGCGGCAGGCCUAACACAUGCAAGUCGAACGUGAAGCCACCUUCGGGUGGUGGAAAGUGGCAGACGGGUGAGUAACGCGUGGGAACCUACCUGGUAGUACGGAAUAACUCAGAGAAAUUUGGGCUAAUACCGUAUACGCCCCUAGGGGGAAAGAUUUAUCGCCAUAGGAUGGGCCCGCGUCGGAUUAGCUAGUUGGUGAGGUAACGGCUCACCAAGGCUACGAUCCAUAGCUGGUCUGAGAGGAUGAUCAGCCACACUGGGACUGAGACACGGCCCAGACUCCUACGGGAGGCAGCAGUGGGGAAUAUUGGACAAUGGGGGAAACCCUGAUCCAGCCAUGCCGCGUGAGUGAAGAAGGCCCUAGGGUUGUAAAGCUCUUUCGCUAGGGAAGAUAAUGACGGUACCUAGUAAAGAAGCCCCGGCUAACUUCGUG